GACGAACGCUGGCGGCGUGCCUAAUACAUGCAAGUCGAGCGCAGGAAACUGACGGAACUCUUCGGAGGGAAGGCAGUGGAAUGAGCGGCGGACGGGUGAGUAACACGUAAGGAACCUGCCUCAAGGAUUGGGAUAACUCCGAGAAAUCGGAGCUAAUACCGGAUAGUUCAACGGACCGCAUGGUCCGCUGAUGAAAGGCGCUUCGGCGUCACCUUCAGAUGGCCUUGCGGUGCAUUAGCUAGUUGGUGGGGUAACGGCCCACCAAGGCGACGAUGCAUAGCCGACCUGAGAGGGUGAUCGGCCACACUGGGACUGAGACACGGCCCAGACUCCUACGGGAGGCAGCAGUAGGGAAUCUUCCACAAUGGACGAAAGUCUGAUGGAGCAACGCCGCGUGAGUGAUGAAGGUUUUCGGAUCGUAAAACUCCGUUGUAAGGGAAGAACACGUACGAGAGGAAAUGCUCGUACCUUGACGGUACCUUACGAGAAAGCCACGGCUAACUACGUGCCAGCAGCCGCAGUAAGAC
rnacentral:rRNA from 1 species